rnacentral:rRNA from 1 species
CCUACGGGUGGCAGCAGUGGGGAAUAUUGCACAAUGGGCGAGAGCCUGAUGCAGCAAAGCCGCGUGAGCGAUGAAGGCCUUCGGGUCGUAAAACUCUUUCCUCAAGGGAGAUAAUGACGGUACUUGAGGAGGAAUCCCCGGCUAACUACGUGCCAGCAGCCGCGGUAAUACGUAGGGGGCUAGCGGUAUCCGGAAUUACUGGGCGUAAAGGGUGCGUAGGUGGUUUCUUAAGGCAGCGGUGAAAGGCUACGGCUAAAUCGUAGUAAGCCUUUGAAACUGGGGAACUUGAGUGCAGGAGAGGUGUGCGGAAUUCGUAGUGUAGCGGUGAAAUGCGUAGAUAUCACGAGGAACACCAGUUGCGAAGGCGGCUUUCUGG